GGUUAAGCGACUAAGCGUACACGGUGGAUGCCCUGGCAGUCAGAGGCGAUGAAGGACGUGCUAAUCUGCGAUAAGCGUCGGUAAGGUGAUAUGAACCGUUAUAACCGGCGAUUUCCGAAUGGGGAAACCCAGUGUGAUUCGUCACACUAUCAUUAACUGAAUCCAUAGGUUAAUGAGGCGAACCGG
rnacentral:rRNA from 1 species